AGUCGACGGAUAUCUUCGGAUAUGAGUGGCGAACGGGUGAGUAACACGUAGGGAACCUGCCUGCAUGAGCGGGAGAACUUCUGGAAACGGAAGCUGAUACCGGAUGAGCAAAGAGGAGGCAUCUUCUUUUUGGAAAAGGGGACAAGAGUCCCGCAUGCAGAUGGACCUGCGGUGCAUUAGCUGGUUGGAGAGGUAACGGCUCACCAAGGCGACGAUGCAUAGCCGGCCUGAGAGGGCGGACGGCCACACUGGGACUGAGACACGGCCCAGACUCCUGCGGGAGGCAGCAGUAGGGAAUUUUCGUCAAUGGGGGGAACCCUGAACGAGCAAUGCCGCGUGAGCGAGGAAGGUCUUCGGAUCGUAAAGCUCUGUUGCCGGGGACAAAAGGCAGAAAGAGUGGAAAGCUUUCUGAGUGAUGGUACCCGGCGAGGAAGUCACGGCUAACUACGUGCCAGCAGCCGCGGUAAUACGUAGGUGGCGAGCGUUAUCUGGAAUGAUUGGGCGUAAAGGGUGCGCAGGCGGCCGGGCAAGUCCGCAGUAAAAACUGGAGGCUCAACCUUCAGGGGCUGCGGAAACUGUCCGGCUGGAGAGCAGGAGAGGACGGUGGAACUCCAUGUGUAGCGGUAAAAUGCGUAGAUAUAUGGAAGAACACCGGUGGCGAAGGCGGCCGUCUGGCCUGCAUCUGACGCUGAGGCACGAAAGCGUGGGGAGCAAAUAGGAUUAGAUACCCUAGUAGUCCACGCUGUAAACGAUGAGGACCAAGUGUUGGAGGUAAAACUUCAGUGCUGCAGUCAACGCAGUGAGUCCUCCGCCUGGGGAGUAUGCACGCAAGUGUGAAACUCAAAGGAAUUGACGGGGGCCCGCACAAGCGGUGGAGUAUGUGGUUUAAUU
rnacentral:rRNA from 1 species